rnacentral:lncRNA from 1 species
AACCGAACCAAACCAAACCAAACCAGAAAAGCAUGUCCCUGUAGAUCUCUAGGCAGAUUUGAUGUUCGUGGCUCACGGAGGAAGGGUAAGUCAUAAAAAGGACUGGAGGAAAGAAAUCAAAGCCACACCACAUCAAGCAGGGAUUAAUCCAAAGCCAGAUUGCUUUGUUUGGAAUGAGUGGGAAACCCAUGCCAGCUGGUCACUGCUGCUGAGCCUCACAGGACGUAAUAGAUUGGCAGGAUAGAAUAGAUUAUACUGUGAACAUAAGAACGUAAGAGGAGCCUUGCUGGAUGAGGCCAUAGCCCAUCUAGUCCAGCAUCCUGUCUCACACAGUGGUCCACCAAUGGCUUCUGGGCAUCUCAAGCAGAAGACAAAGGUUGGAGACCAAAGUCCUGGUAUUCAAACAUCGUGUAAAAAUGCUUGUAACAAGUGCUUUGGGGGGUCUGGAAUGGAUUAAUCCAAUUAACAUUCCUUCCUAUGAGGAAAACUGAUACAGUAUAUGAACAAAUUGGUUUGCGAACUGUCUUCUGGAAGAAAUCGUUUGCGAACCAAGGUUCCACUGUAUUGUACUAACUGUGUUACAUGGAGAUAAAAUGCAUUUGUAAUUAGUGUAAGUUCAUAAAUGACCUUGUUUUCUUUCAUUUACAUCCCACCUUUCUGUCCUUGUAGCUUCAUGGUCUCUGUGCCUUUUUUUUUUUUGCCUUUCAUCACAAAACUCAGCAUGACAUAUUGGCAAUUUCCAGUCCAUCUUCCAUCCAAGGCUUGCAAGAUCAGAUGUGAUCAGAUUUAGAAGAAGUUACAUUUUUCUUGUCACCCUCCUCCGAUUCAGUCACAACACUUAAUACAAUUAUUUUCAGACCUUAAUUUUUGUUUCCCUGCUGCACACUGCUUUUCCAGUGUUCUUGGCUUUUCUUGUCUCUCUCUCUCUCUGAAAAGAGACAGUUAUAUUUAGUAGUGGUAUUGAGAAAUUAUCUUGCUCUGUUGACAUUUUUACUCUGCAAAGCUGAAAGGAACAGUUGUUCGCUUUGAGCAAUUUAGCAAGGCCUGGAAAGCACCCUGGCAGCCCCAUUUCACUCUGGAAGGUUUUAAAAACAAAAAAUAUAAAGCACAGCAGAAUCAAAAAGGGGAACUUUUCCAAAAAGAUACUGUGCUAAGAAGCCAUGUGGCUGAGGAGAAACAAAGCAACGACGAAAGCUGAGAACCAGACACCGCAGAGGUUUAUAAUGCUUCACACCAGUGAUCCC